rnacentral:rRNA from 1 species
GACGUAGGGUGCGAGCGUUGUCCGGAUUUAUUGGGCGUAAAGAGCUCGUAGGCGGCUCGUCGCGUCGACCGUGAAAACCCGCGGCUUAACUGCGGGCUUGCGGUUGAUACGGGCGGGCUAGAGUUCGGUAGGGGAGACUGGAAUUCCUGGUGUAGCGGUGAAAUGCGCAGAUAUCGGGAGGAACACCAAUGGCGAAGGCAGCUCGCUGGGACGGUACUGACGCUGAGACGCGAAAGCGUGGGGAGCAAACAGG